rnacentral:rRNA from 1 species
CUUUCGUAAAGAGCGACGGGCGAUUUGUGCAUAUUCAUUUUCUGAAUUUUAAAAUUGACUUCCUUUGUUCAAUUUUAAUUUCAAGUUCCCUUUCUAUUUUUUUUCUCUUUGAGUCCAAUCUAAUGAUUUGUAUCCCAUUUAAAACCUCCCCAAUUAACUCUGUCUUGAUUUGCCUUAGAAUCUUAUUUAUUUUCAGAAGUUAAACUUUUGAAUUCUUCUUUAAACAAUGAUAUAGGGGUUAAAAUAAAGAGUUUAUUUUAUCGUGGUUUAUCUAUUACCAAACAGGAUCCCCUGAAAAGAUUGAAUACCGCCAUCUUCUUCUAAGUUUUGUUUAUUUAACUACUAUUUUUUCUUUUUUUAAAA